rnacentral:lncRNA from 1 species
GCAAACACACUUUUUGUGCGAUGGCAACACCAACUUCCAUAUCGUUCGCCGUCCGAAGGUGCGAACCAGAAUUGGUUGCGCCAGCUAAGGCCACACCUCAUGAAUUCAGACAGCUUUCUGAUAUUGAUCGCCAACUAUACCUCCAAUUUCAAUCACCACAUUACAACUUGUAUGCACACAAUCCAUCGAUGCAAGGGAAAGAUCCUGUGAAGGUAAUAAAGGAGGCAAUUGCGCAGGCACUUGUGUAUUAUUACCCUUUUGCUGGUAGGAUUAGACAAGGGCCAGACAAUAAGCUUAUAGUUGAUUGUACUGGUGAGGGUGUCUUGUUCAUCGAAGCCGAUGCCGAUGCCACGGUGGAGCAGUUUGGUGAUCCAAUUCCAUCUCCAUUCCCAUGCUUUCAGGAACUUCUUUACAACGUCCCAGGAUCAGAAGGGAUCCUCAAUACCCCAUUAUUGAUUUUUCAGGUACGUAUAGGACAUUAUUGGCUAAUGUUUAUUCAUUUCUUUCAUUAUUAUUUAUUAUUAUUAUCGAGAAAAUUCAAAAAAUAUAAUUAAAACAAUGAUGGUAAUAUUCCAUCAAUUACAUUCUCAUAAAGUAUUAAUAAUUUUACGUUAUAUUAACAGGUGACACGCUUGAAGUGUGGCGGUUUUGUACUUGGGUUCCGUCUUAAUCACCCAAUGACCGAUGCACUCGGCAUAGUUCAGCUAUUGAAUGCCAUAGGUGAGAUUGCACGAGGUGCCCAAGCCCCUUCAAUUCUACCUGUGUGGCAAAGGGAACUCCUCUGUGCUAGGAAUCCGCCACGAGUUACAUGCAGACACAAUGAAUAUGGUAAUGAUGCUCCUGUUGCUGUUGAUCCUACAGCCAAGGUGCCUGAAUUCCACGGCCAGGUUCACGCUGUAGCCCACCGUAGUUUUGUUCUCAACCGCAAGGAAUUAUCCAACAUUCGUAGAUGGAUUCCUUCUCAUUUACACCCAUGUUCAAAUUUUGAGGUAAUAAGUGCAUGCUUAUGGAGAUGCUAUGCCAUGGCAUCUCAAGCUAACCCUAAUGAGGAGAUGCGCAUGCAAAUGCUUGUUAACGCACGUUCCAAAUUUAACCCUCCAUUACCGAAAGGAUAUUAUGGUAACGUGCUAGCUUUGCCAGCAGCUGUAACAAAUGCUAGGAAGCUUUGCUUAAACUCUUUAGGGUAUGCUGUGGAAAUGAUAAGAAAUGCCAAGAAUAGAAUAACUGAGGAGUACAUGAGAUCAUUGGCUGAUCUAAUGGAGAUAACCAAAGGGCAGCCUAUAGGGUUACAAUCAUAUGUCGUGUCAGACUUAACAAGUAUUGGGUUCGAUCAGGUGGACUAUGGAUGGGGCAACACAAUUUACACUGGGCCACCCAAGGCCAUGCCUGAUGAAAUUUCUAUUGCAGGAACCUAUUUCCUGCCGUAUCGAUUCAAGAACGGAGAGCGUGGGGUUAUGCUUUUGGUUUCCUUACGUGCACCAGUUAUGGAGAGAUUUGCAAUACUAUUAGAGGAAUUGGCAAGGCAUGACCCAGAAAGAAGCCAAGAACAACAAGAAAUGAUACCAAGCUCCCUAUAAGACAGGAGAGGCUAUGAUAUUAUUCUGUUCUUGGCCGGAUAAGCCUUUGGUACCAAAAAAAAUAUUUUAAAGCAGAUGGUGGCGAAGUUCCGAUAAGCCUUUAAAUUUAUUUAUUACCAGCAAGCCCGUACUCUUUGACCUUGUUGUGAUUGUAUACUUAGACAUAUGAGUUGGAGUUUUCAUGAAAAAUUGGUGAUUUGUGUGUUUUCAAAUUGUUUACAGUUGUAAAAUUUAGGUCUCAUGACUAUUAUUUUGUUUAGUGUGCUAUCACUUUUAUAUUCAAUAAUAAGAUCAAUAUUUUGUUUCCAAUAUAUAGUUUCGUGAGUUAAUUAGGGUUUUGAGCUUUUGUAUAAAAACAAAUUAGGGUUUUGAUCAACAUAUAUAUGCCAUUUUGUUGAACAAAAAUUCUUGGAAAUCCAUUGGACAACAACCAUUUAUUUUUUCUAUUUUUUUGCCCGAGUUAAAGCAACACCAUAAUAACUUAGGAAAGCUCCAUAUAAAAAAAGAGAGAAAAAGUCAAUGCUAGUGAGGUUGACGUAUAAGAGUUUGCAAAACAGAAAGUACUUCAAAAGCAAAAUAUUCCAUAGAGUAGAUCUAAACAAAACUGAAAAAAACGAAAAAAAAUUCAAUUACAUUGAGCUUUGUUAAAAAAAAACUCUAUAGUGUAAUUUUUUUUCUUUUUUCACAUAUCUUUAUGAGUCAUUUAUAAUUUCAAGUUUAUUUAAUGUAAAAAUCUCAAUAAAUUAUCGAGCUUUAUUACAGCACUAGUGUUACCUAUAAAAUAAAUUGUAUUUAUGAUUUUGUAUGUGUUAUGGUUUGUUUUAUAUUUUGUAAAAUUGUAUUUAUUUGUAAAUUGUUGAAACUUAUAUCAAAUUACCAACAUAGGUGUGUUGUGAUGAAAUAAAUAAUGACUUAUUUAAGGGUCCGUUUUAUAUUUUAUCAAUUUUAUUUCCGAGUUGUAAUUUCUGUAAAUAUAUACAAAUUUAUAUGUACUUAGAUAAUUGGUAAUUAAUUAAGAGAAGUAUUAAAGUAAGUUAAAUAAUCUUAAACCAAUAUUUUUAUAAAUUUAUUUAGUUAACGAAGUUAAUUAAUACAUGUUGUCAUCAUUAUUUAAUAUAGGUUCGAUAGAAGUCAUGAAUGAUCGUUCAUGGAUAUAUCGAGAUUCACCCUAAGGAUUGCAGAGGAGGGAUUAUUGUAAUGAGGUUUAGAGUUUUAUUAAUUACGUAAUACCUAAUCCAAGAAAUAUUAGUGGAGGUAGUAUUAGGUGUCUGACACGAUCAAAUAGUUGAUGUCUUAUCCCAAGUGCAGGAGUGUCAAAGUAAUAAAUAACCCAGCAAGACCGGGGUCGAACCACAGGGAGGUGAACUAUAUAAAUUAUAAAUAAUAAUAAUAAUAACAACAACAACAACAACAACAACAAUGAUGAUGAUGAUGGUGAUGAUGAGUUAAAGAUGACUUUGAGAUGUAAGAUAAAUGUGAAGAUUAAACAAUGAUAAAAACAAAUGUCAAGGUUAGAGGAUCCACUAAUAGUAUUAGAGAUAAGUAAAGUAUAAACUCUUUAUAAAUUAUCAAUAUAAUCAUAUUAAUCAUCUUAUUUACGUAACACCAUACUUAUAAAUUUUAUCAGGUAUUCAUGAUGCUAACUUAUGUUGACAACAAAUCAAGUUCCUCUCAUAAUAAUGAUGUCGGCCGAAGACUAUGAAGGAUCAAGUAUUUGAUGUACCAAGUGUUAUACAACACAAAUCUAGAUUAACCAUUUAACAAGUAAGGUAUUAAGAAUUAAUAAGUUAAAAAUGAUAAGACAUGUUAAUAGCAAACUUUCUUGGAUAUAAACAUUAAAGUUCAUGUUAAGUUUAUAUUAUACUUAUCCUAACACCAUUAGUGAAACCUUUUCACCUUGACAUAAUUAACUUAGCUAGACAUUAUGAAGAAGAAAAACAUAAAUAAACAAUACAAGAACAUAAACAUGAUAUAAGUUAACUAACUAUAGUAAAGGAAAUGAAAGGCAUGAACAAGAGAUUAAUGAAAGCAAAACUUAAGUAUUACAAAAAUAUAAAGAGAGAGCAAGAACAUGAUCUUGAUAUGAAGAACCAAGAUUCCUAAAUGAAUGGCAAAUGCCUCCUUUUAUAGGCUAAAGUUCAGAACUAUUCAUUUGGUAAUUGAUUAUUGAUGUAGUGGCCAACUAUUGAUUUAGUGGACUUGGUGGACAGCAACACUCAAGCAUUUUGGCUGGAUAAAUUGACAUUGAUGCAAUCCGAAUUUGGCAAAGUGUUCCUCAUGCAAGUUGUUGGAAAUCAUCUUAUCUUUCCACCCAUAUAAUUUCAGAGCAUUUGGAUGACUAAAGCUCGAGAUAUGGCUAAACUACUGAGUAGUGCUGCUGGUGGACGUGGUGGAUAGCCCUCAAGCUCUUGUCUGGAUGAAAGGUCAUUGUUACCAUCAGAAUUUGAGCAGGUCUUCUUCAUAAAAGUUGUUGGAAAUUGUCUUUUCCUUCCACCUACCAAAGGUCACGUCAUUUAGCCUUCUAGAACUCCAGAUAUGGGUAAACGUCUGAGCAGUGUUUGGGCUGGAUUGCAGGACAGAUUCUGGCUUCUCUUUUGUGGCCAAACUUUGGAUUUGAAAACGGCAGAUUUGGGUCUUCCACUAUUCAUGAACAUUGUAGGCCUAUUUCUUAUCUUUCUAUCCAUAUAAAUUAAACUGAAAUCCAAGAUCUACAGCUCCAGAUAUGACCCAAUAACUGAACAGUGUGUCAAUUUGAAUUGAAUCGGUAUCUCCUUUCUAAGCUUCGCCUUUUCUUUGUCCUUUCACUUUCAAUAGUUAAUCACAUCAAUCAAUCAUUUGAAUUGUGAGAUAUGCCUGCAUUUAAAAUAAGCAUUUACCAUAAAUUAAAGCUAUCUUAUAUUAUCAGACUUGUUAUUAUAAAACAUGCUCUAGAUAAAGAGUUAUUGAUACUUCAAGUGCAAAAUAAUGAUAUAAAACCUUGAUAAAAAUGCACUUUUAAGUACUAAUCACACACCCCAACCAGUUUAUUACUAGUCCCUAGUAAUCAAAGCAUUAAAAUAGAAAAAAAAACAAUUUGCAAGUUCCACAAAGCAAGGCAUUCAUCAUUUAACUUCCAUUAAUCUUGUUGCUACCCAAUUUUUGACCCACCUUUUUGAUAAAAUUUUCGGAAAAUCCAAAGAUAGCGAAAAACAACGAAAAUCCAAAAAAAUACAGCUAUUGACACACCUCCCAUUAACCCAAGGCUGCCUCCGCCAUACACUAAAUGAAUCUUUCUCUCAGCUAAUACCUGACCAAGAUGAUUUGCUGAUUCUAAAAACUCUUUUUCUUUCCCAGGACUGGAUCCACCGAAAACACAAAUAUUUCUUAUUUGAGGACUUGAGGAACCUGCCAUUUCUACACACUUCGAUAUCUGUUAAAUGUGUGGGUUGAGUAAAAAUGAAGGGAAGGAAGAGAAGAUUUUAUAGAUGAGAAAUUGAAAAAGCAAUCAUACCACCUAUAUAUAGGCCAGCUGAAGUCUCUCUCUCUCUCUCUCUCUCUUUUUAUUUUAAAAAAAACAUGUGUAUGUACAAGCAGUUGUGAUUGUGGCUCACAUCUUCCCUUGGUUUUACGUCCAAGAACGGCUUAAACACCCUCUAUGGGUCGGGGAUAUGCUUCCCAUCCAAUUUUCUUAAAAACUAGCAAACAGGGUCUUUUUUAGUCAGAUUCCCAAGACUAUGUUGAGCAUGUUCCUUAUGAAAUUGUGGCCAUAAAUCAUGAAUUGCACGAUGCACAUCUCCACUAGGGUGCGUCUCAAGAGUCAACAGAAGAUUAUCUAAAGACUCCUUACUCAGGUCAUCCUUAAUGAACUGUAUUUUAUCUUCAUGAUUUACAGAUACCAUUCCUAAAGAACGACAUUUUGCAUCACAAGUCCAUCUGACACAUCUGUGACAGACUUGUAGUCGUUUUGCACGACGUUUCUUUGCAAAAGUGCUUUUACCUGUUCCAGGCAUGUAUGAAAUGAAAGAAUUGGAGGACUCACCUGAUAAUCGGACCUUUGCUUCAAUUAGCCAGCGAAUAUCUUUAGGAAUUCCAUGGUUCAUUAACAAUCGCAAUCUUGCACAUCUAGCACGAUAAAUUUUUGUAAUCGCAUUCUGAGGCAGAGCAGGAAAAUACUUUUUCAAUUUUUCAAGAGUGGUGUCCAUUUUUUUUUUAGAUGAGAAGUGGAAAAGAGAUGCAAAGAAGGGAGAAAGAGCAAAGAAUUGCACAAACAUAUACACAUAUAUCAGUUAUCAUGGGAAACUGAAAGAACCGACUUUAAGAGUCACGGAGUACCGUUAUCCGCCAUUUGACCGGGGUGAGAGAAACUAGCAAAACAAAGGUCACACAAAAAAGAAACACAAAAACAAUGUGAGAAAAAGAAUCAAUCUUUAUAUACAGGAUCACCCAAUUCAAUAGAGUCAUUUUCAACUGAAAAAUUGUCAAAGUAAACUUUCAAACGAUGUCCAUUUACCUUGAAAACAUUACCAUUCUUUGGAUUCUCAAUAUCACAGGCCCCAUAUGGAUACACAUGUUUCACAAUAAAAGGACCGCUCCAUCUUGAUCUUAGUUUUCCAGGAAACAAAUGGAGUCGAGAAUUAUAAAGCAAGACUUUUUGACCAACAUUGAAUGUUUUUCUCAAUAUUUUCUUGUCAUGAAACUCUUUGAUUCUUGCUUUAUGAAUUCUUGAAUUUUCAUAUGCAUCAUUUCUUAUUUCCUCAAGCUUAUUUAUUUGUAAUUUUCGCAGCUGACUAGCAUCAUCAAGAUUUGAAUUGAAAGCUUUAAUAGCCCAAUAAACUUUAUGUUCAAGUUCCACAGGUAAGUGACAAGGUUUCCCAUAGACUAGUCUAUAAGGUGACAUACCUAAUGAUGUUUUAUAAGCAGUUCGAUAAGCCCAAAGUGCAUCAUUAAGUCUUAAAGACCAGUCUUUCCUAUUAGGGUUCACUGUUUUCUCCAAGAUCUGUUUGAUCUCCCUAUUAGCACGUUCUACUUGUCGACUUGUUUGAGGGUGAUAAGGGGUGGCAACUUUAUGUGUGAUUCCAUAUUUCUUCAUUAAAGACUCAAAUGACUUGUUGCAGAAAUGUGUUCCACCAUCACUUAUCAUGGCUCGAGGGAUUUCAAAUCGACUUAAAAUAUUUUCUUUCAAAAACUUUAUCACUAUUUUGUGAUCAUUGUUUCGACUUGGAAUUGCCUCUAUCCAUUUUGAAACAUAAUCUACUGCGACUAAUAUGUACAAGAAACCAAAUGAUGGAGGAAAUGGACCCAUAAAAUCUAUACCCCAACAGUCAAAGAUCUCAAUGACAAGAAUAGGAUUUAAAGGCAUCAUGUGAUGUUUUGAAAUAGAUCCCAACUUUUGACAAUUUUCACAAAUCUUGCAGAAUGCAUGUGUGUCCUUGAACAUGGUGGGCCAAUAAAAUCCACUUUGUAAGAUUUUUGCAGUUGUCUUUCUUGAUGAGAAAUGACCCCCACAUGCCUCAGAAUGACAAAAUUUAAUGACACUACUUACCUCAUUGUCAGGAAUGUAUCUUCGAAAUAUUUGAUCAGGACAAUAUUUGAAUAAAUAAGGGUCAUCCCAAUAAAAGUUCUUCACUUCGGUCAAGAACUUUCUUUUGUCUUGGGUGUUCCAAUGAGCUGGCAAAUGUCCUGAAACAAGAAAAUUAACAAUAUUAGCAAACCAAGGCAUUGUAGCAACAGAAAGUAAAUAUUCAUCAAGAAAGUAAUCAUUGAUUUGUGUGAUGUCAGAUGUGGAAUCUAUUGUCAAUCUUGACAAAUGAUCCGCGACAACAUUUUCGGUGCCUUUCUUGUCUUUGAUUGUGAUAUCAAAUUCUUGAAGUAACAAAAUCCAUCGUACCAAUCUAGCCUUAGAAUCCUUUUUUGAAAGAAGAUAUUUCAAAGCUGCAUGAUCACUAAAAAUAACAACAGGUGAGCCAACAAGAUAAGAUCUGAACUUGUCACAUGCAAAUACUACUGCAAGUAAUUCCUUUUCAGUGGUAGUAUAAUUCAUUUGAGCACUAUUUAAAGUUUUACUUGCAUAGUAAAUCACAUAGGGUUUCUUAUCUUUUCUUUGUCCUAAGACAGCACCUACGGCAUAAUCACUAGCAUCACACAUUAUUUCAAAAGGUAAUGACCAAUCAGGAGGUUGAAUGACAGGAGCAGAAGUAAGCAAGCUUUUAAGUUUAACAAAGGCUUUUUCACAUUGUUCAGUCCAUUCAAAAACAUUUUCCUUUGUUAGAAGGUUACACAAUGGCUUAGAUAUGACACUAAAAUCUUUGAUAAACCUUCUGUAAAAACCAGCAUGUCCUAAGAAUGAUCUAACAUCUUUAACAGAUUUUGGUGUUGGCAAGUUGGCAAUUAACUCGAUUUUAGAUUUGUCAACCUCAAUUCCUUUCGAUGAAACAAUAUGACCCAGUACAAUGCCGUUUGUUACCAUAAAAUGAUAUUUUUCCCAAUUCAACACAAGAUUCUUCUCUUCACACCUGCUCAAAACCUUUUCUAAGUUAGUCAAACAAUCAUCAAAUGAAUCGCCAAAAACAGAAAAAUCAUCCAUAAAAAUUUCAAGAAAACAUUCAACCAUAUCACUGAAUAUGCUAAGCAUGCAUCUUUGAAACGUGGCUGGUGCAUUACAUAAUCCAAAAGGCAUCCUUCUAUAUGCAAAAGUUCCAAAUGGACAUGUGAAAGUAGUCUUCUCUUGAUCUUCCAAUGCAAUUUCAAUUUGGUUGUAACUUGAAUAGCCAUAUAGGAAACAAUAAAAUUCAUGACCUGCAACUCUUUCUAGGAUUUGAUCCAUGAAAGGUAAAGGGAAAUGAUCUUUUCUAGUCAUUGAAUUAAGUUUCCUAUAGUCAAUGCACAUGCGCCAACCAGUAAUAGUCCUAGUUGGAAUUAACUCAUUUUUCUCAUUUGUUAUCACAGUAACUCCAGACUUCUUGGGUACAACUUGGGUAGGACUUACCCAUUUGCUGUCAGAAAUAGGAUAAAUAAUUCCAUUAUCUAGAAGCUUAAUGACUUCAUUCCUCACUACUUCUUUCAUAUUAGGAUUAAGCCUUCGUUGCAUUUCUCUAGAGGGUUUAACAUUUUCCUCCAAAUAAAUCUUGUUUGUGCAAAUCAAAGGACUAAUUCCUUUUAUGUCAGCUAUGGUCCAUCCUAAUGCAUUUUUGUGCAUUUUCAGAGUUUGUAACAACUUACCUUCUUGAUGUGCAUUAAGUUUGGAAGAGAUUAUUACCAGAAAAGUUUCAUUUUCUCCCAAAAAUGAGUAUUUAAGAUUGAAUGGUAAUGGCUUCAAAUCAGGUUUUGGUGGUUGAACACUUGAAGGUAUAGACUCAAUUGAUCGUGGUGGCAAUUCUUCAAUUUGUGGUCUCCAAUUACUUGCCCUUGAUUCUUCCUGAAAAUAAACCAUUUACAAAUCUUCAGAUUCAUUAAACUCAAUUUCAUUGGAAGUAGUUUGAAAUUGAUCAUAAACUAAUUUUUCAAUAAAGUCUACUUCCUGUAAAUCAUUAUCAUCUCCAGGUUGCUUGCAAAUGUUAAAAACAUUCAUCUCUAAUGUCAUGUUUCCAAAUGAUAACUUCAUCAGUCCAUUCCUACAAUUAAUCAAUGCAUUAGAAGUUGCAAGAAACGGACGUCCUAAAAUAACAGGAAUUGAAUUACAUGUUUCAACAGGUUGUGUAUCCAAGACAACAAAAUCCACAGGAUAAAUGAAUUUAUCAACUUGUACUAACACAUCUUCAACUAUUCCUCUAGGCACUUUUACAGAUCUAUCGGCAAGUAAAAGAGUUACAGAAGUUGGUUUUAACUCACCUAGAUUGAGACUCUGAAAGACUGAAUAUGGAAGUAAAUUCAUACUAGCUCCAAGAUCAAGUAAAGCUCUUUUAAUUUUAUGUUCUCCAAUAAAGCAAGAAAUUGUAGGACAACCAGGGUCUUUAUAUUUCAAAGCAUUAUUGUUCUGAAGAAUGACACUUGUUCGGCUAAAAAGGCUUUCUUUUUCACAUUUAGUUUUCUCUUCACAGUGCACAGAUCUUUUAAAAAUUUAGCAUAAGAAGGUACCUGUUUAAUAGCAUCUAACAAAGGUAUAUUGAUCCUUACCUGUUUGAAAGUUUCAAAGAUUUCAAAGUUGUGAUUGACUUUCCUUUGUUUGGUAAUGGUAUGAGGAAAUGGAAGUGCUGGCAGGGAAUCCGUCUUUUCUUUACAAUGUUCAGAUUCAACCCCUUCCUUACCCUCGAAGAUUAACUCAUCAUCUUUCUCACAAGGUUCAAGAGUGGGUUUUUCAAUAACCUUACCACUGCGAAGAGUGAUGACUGAUUUGACUUGAUCCAUGUGUUGGCUUCCGGAACUACUUGCAUUUGCAUUGGAUUGCCCCUUGGGAUUUUGCUGUGGUAGAGAUGGAAACUUACCUUUCUCUUGAAAACUGAGAGAAGAUGUGAAUUUUGCAAGAGCAUCUUUUAGAUCUGCCAUGGUUUGAGCAUUUUGAGUAUUGAUUGUCUCCUGCUUUUCAAUGAAUGCAUGCAAUGUUUUCUCAAGAUUUCUUCUAGGAGGUGGAGCAUAAGGAGGUGCAUAUCCAUGAGAAUUUUGGAAAUUAUGGUGUGCUUGAAAUGGUGGCUGUAAAGUUUGUGCAUUAUUGUUACUACUCUUCCAACUGAAAUUUGGGUGAUUUCUCCAACCAGGGUUAUAUGUUUACGAGUAUGGGUUAUGAUUUGGCCUUUGGAAACUAUUUAAAGCAUGGGCUUGUUCAUGGAGGCAUUCUUUGAAAGAAGACAAAGUUGGACAGUCAUUGGUUGCAUGUUCAUUCGUUUCACAGAUUUAACACACAAUGUCUUGAACAGAUUUUAAUUGACCACUCUUUUUUAAUUCUAGUGCCUCAACUUUUCUAGCUAAUGAUGCAAAUUUGGCUUGGAGGUCAUGAUCUUCCCUAAGGUUGUACAUACCUCCACUAGAUGUAUGAGGUUGAGUUUUACCUGGUGCCUCAUAACUGCCUGUAGUGUCCUAAUUUUGAGCAUUUUCAGCUAGCAAGUCUAGGUACUCCAUUGCUUCAUCAGGGUCUUUAUUUUCAAAAGUUCCAUUGCACAUCAAAUCCACCAUUUGUCUAUCUUUAGGUGUUAACCCUUCAUAAAAAUGUGAAACCAAUCUCCAUAUUUCAAAACCAUGAUGAGGGCAAGUAUUAAGCAAAUCUCGAUACUUAUCCCAACAUUGGUAAAAUGUUUUUCCUGGAUUUUGAGUGAAAGUGGUGAUUUGUCUUUUGAAAGAGUUUGUUCUGUGAGAUGGAAAAAUCUUCGUUAAAAAUUGUUGUUGCAUUUCAUCCCAAGCACGAAUGGAUCCUGACCUAAGAUUUUGUAGCCAUGUUUUAGCUUUAUCUUUUAACGAAAAAGGAAAGAGCUUUAAUCUGAUGGUGUUCAUGCUACAAUUUAAGUUAUUAUAGGUGUUACAGACUUCUUCAAAUUCUCUCAAAUGCAAGUAUGGAUUUUCUAGAUUUAAGCCAUGAAAAGAAGGUAAAAGUUGAAUAAUGCCUGGCUUAAAAUUAAAGUGAGAUGCAUCAGGAGGGAAAACUAUACAUGAGGGUGCACUUGUUCUUGUUGGAUUCAUGUGGUCUCUUAAUGUUCUAACUCGAUUAUUCUCAUUAUUCUCAUUAUGAAGUGAUUGAUUAUCUUCUUCGGCCAUAUUUUCUGAAAAUGAUGAGGAUACCCUACAAAGUCUACCACUUAAUGUACGUGACCAAACUCUCAUGCACGUGUAGAAAGAGAAUAAAAGGAAGAAGAAAACAAAAGAAAAAGAAACAAAACAAAAGAAACAAAAGUUAGAUACAAGAAAAGUGGAAAGUGAAAAUAAAAUAAAUAUUAUAAUUUAUACAAGAAUUUACCUCCCCGGCAACGGCGCCAAAAACUUGACACGAUCAAAGAGUUGAUGUCUUAUCCCAAGUGCAGGAGUGUCAAAGUAAUAAAUAACCCAGCAAGACCGGGGUCGAACCACAGGGAGGUGAACUAUAUAAAUUAUAAAUAAUAAUAAUAAUAAUAAUAAGAACAACAACAACAACAAUGAUGAUGAUGAUGGUGAUGAUGAGUUAAAGAGGACUUUGAGAUGAAAUAGGACUUUGAGAUGUAAGAUAAAUGUGAAGAUUAAACAAUGAUAAAAACAAAUGUCAAGGUUAGAGGAUCUACUAAUAGUAUUAGAGAUAAGUAAAGUAUAAACUCUUUAUAAAUUAUCAACAUAAUCAUAUUAAUCAUCUUAUUUUAUCAGGUAUUCAUGAUGCUAACUUAUGUUGACAACAAAUCAAGUUCCUCUCAUAAUAACGAUGUCGGCCGAAGACUAUGAAGGAUCAAGUAUUUGAUGUACCAAGUGUUAUACAACACAAAUCUAGAUUAACCAUUUAACAAGCAAAGUAUUAAGAAUUAAUAAGAUAAAAAUGAUAAGACAUGUUAAUAGCAAACUUUCUUGGAUAUAAACAUUAAAGUCCAUGUUGAGUUUAUAUUAUACUUAUCCUAACACCAUUAGUGAAACCUUUUCACCUUGACAUAAUUAACUUAGCUAGACAUUAUGAAGAAGAAAAACAUAAAUAAACAAUAUAAGAACAUAAACAUGAUAUAAGUUAACUAACUAUAGUAAAGGAAAUGAAAAGCAUGAACAAGAGAUUAAUGAAAGCAAAACUUAAGUAUUACAAAAAUAUAAAGAGAGAGCAAGAACAUGAUCUUGAUAUGAAGAACCAAGAUUCCUAAAUGAAUGGCAAAUGCCUCCUUUUAUAGGCUAAAAUUCAGAACUAUUCAUUUGGUAAUUGAUUAUUGAUGUAGUGGCCAACUAUUGAUUUAGUGGACUUGGUGGACAGCAGCACUCAAGCAUUUUGGCUGGAUAAAUUGACAUUGAUGCAAUCAGAAUUUGGCAAAGUGUUUCUUAUGCAAGUUGUUGGAAAUCAUCUUAUCUUUCCACCCAUAAAAGUUCAGAGCAUUUGGAUGACUAAAGCUCGAGAUAUGGCUAAACUACUGAGUAGUGCUGCUGGUGGACGUGGUGGAUAGCCCUCAAGCUCUUGUCUGGAUGAAAGGUCAUUGUUACCAUCAGAAUUUGAGCAGGUAUUCUUCAUGAAAGUUGUUGGAAAUUGUCUUUUCCUUCCACCUACCAAAGGUCACAUCAUUUGGCCUUCUAGAACUCCAGAUAUGGGUAAACGUCUGAGCAGUGUUUGGGCUGGAUUGCAGGAUAGAUUCUGGCUUCUCUUUUGUGGCCAAACUUUGGAUUUGAAAACGGCAGAUUUGGGUCUUCCACUAUUCAUGAACAUUGUAGGCCUAUUUCUUAUCUUUCUAUCCAUAUAAAUUAAACUGAAAUCCAAGAUCUAUAGCUCCAGAUAUGACCCAAUAACUGAACAGUGUGUGAAUUUGAAUUGAAUCGGUAUCUCCUUUCUAAGCUUUGCCUUUUCUUUGUCCUUUCACUUUCAAUAGUUAAUAACAUCAAUCAAUCCUUUGAAUUGUGAGAUAUGCCUGCAUUUAAAAUAAGCAUUUACCAUAAAUUAAAGCUAUCUUAUAUUAUCAGACUUGUUAUUAUAAAACAUGCUCUAGAUAAAGAGUUAUUGAUACUUCAAGUGCAAAAUAAUGAUAUAAAACCUUGAUAAAAAUGCACUUUUAAGUACUAAUCAGUGUCCAUGCAAGAUGUGUAAGAAUAAAAAGUUUCUCGAUCCAGAUGUUGUAAUGAUACAUGUUCUACACAAAGGGUUCUUGGAGGAAUAUAUGUGUUGGUAUGCACAUGAAAAACCAUUUGUUCCUCACGAGACCAUGGUCGAAAGGAUGGAUUGGUCAACUUCUAGUGCUAGCAACGUGUAUGGAGUUGUAAAUGACAACAAUAAUUCUUAUAAAACUAUGGUUAUGGAUGCGAUGAGAAUGAAUUAGGGUCAUACCGAUCAAUAUCCAAUCAUAGAAGAAGAACCUACAUGUUGUUACCCAAUUUUUAACCCAUCUUUUUGAUAAAAUUUUCAAAAAUAAAAAAAUAGUGAAAAACAACGAAAAUCCAAAAAAUAUGUUUUUUCAAUGUAUUUGCAUCAUUUUUAUCAUUUUCAACAUUAUCUCAAAAGAAUUUAAAUUUUUAAAAGUCUUUUGAACGCGUUUUACUUUUCACGCGUUAUAUUUUAAAAUCAAUGAUCUUCCUCAUUCAAGUUGAUGUUGAUAAGAAAAAUCUAAAAAAAAAGAAAAAUCAAAUUUAUAAAAAAAGAAAGAAGUUGAGGGACCAAGUUUGGAAACCUAGCAAUAUUUUUACCUAUAAAUACUGGUCUUUAUAACACACACAAGAAGGGGGCAAUUUUGCACAUUUGGAGGUAAAAAAAAAAAAAAAACCUAACCCUAAAACUUCAUCUCUUUCAAACCAGCCCCCGCUCACCAUCUUGAAGAAAGGAGCCACAGCCCCCCGCUCUGAUUUUGUUUGAAACGAAACCGCCAUCCCUCCCGGGGGUCCUUGGGUUUUUUUUGCUCUCCCAGAACCAAAGAGCCAAGGACCCCCUGCCAUUUCAUUUCUUCUCCCCUCUCCUGGCCGGUUCCACCAUCUCCUCCCACUCUCCCUUGCCCUCUGCCAAAAGAAAACCAGUCGCUCAAGCCCCCUUCCCCGGAGCUUUUGCUCCAUCUUCUUCUCCUCUCUCCUUCGACUAUCCUCUAGUGGCAGCCAAACACAGCAAUAGCCCCCACUCUCUUCAUCAUCUCCUUCAACUGGUCAGCAGCAACGCCGUCCUCCACCGGCCUCCAGCAGCAGUCCAAGCACGACAGAACCCAUAGACCCACCGUUGUCCCUUUCCCCAGCGGCGACACCCGCAACUCCAACUUCCAACACUCCUUCCAUAACCGCCAUAUCUGCCGCUUGAAGAAGAAGGAAAGAAUAACAAACCCGAACACAACAGCAGACCCGAGAACGGACCUGCACAAAAAAAAAAAAUUAAAAUCAACUGAUGUUUGUGCGUUGUUUCCCUUGUUGCAGGUGAUGGUGGUCCUCACCGACAACGUAGGAAGACAGAGAAGAAGAAGAUGUUCCCGAUCUACCAGUUUUGUUGCCUUCAUCGGCGUCGGCGCGUGAUCCCACGCGCUGCCAGUGACGGUGACGCGUGGAGCAACGCGCCGCUGCUGUUUCUGCAGUUUUAGAGGGCUUCCCGACACUGUUCCUAAAUUUUUUGGGGUUCAUUUUGUAAAUUUAAAAUUUUUUAAUGUGUUUUUUGGUUUAUUUUGAAUUUUGAUUGAUUUGUAAUCAUGUAAUGGGUGUGUUUAAACAUAGUAAAAGGAAAAUGUUUGAGUGGGUGUUUUGUUAUUAUUUUUUAUGUAUAUGUUGUUUAUGAUAAAACUAAAAAGAAAAAAAGAAAAAAAAAUUAAAUGUUUUAAUUUGCAUUGAAUUUGGUUCAUAUUUCAAAAAAAUAUCAAAAAUAUUUUUUUGGUAUCGGGGAUUAUAAUCUUAUACGUAAGAUGUAUUCUUGAUAUUAAAUUGAAAAGUUUGUUUUGUUUUAUUGAUGCUAAAGCAAUUAGAUUUUCUUUACCUAAUAAAAUAAGGAUCUCUUACCGAGGAUAACUUCUUUUUUUUUACGAAAUCAUUGGCAGGACAAGUUUCAAAAUCUUUUAAAUCACAUCAAAUCACGAAGCAGCUUACCUCAGGUAGGGUGUGUUAGGGGUGCUAAUACCUUCUCUAGCCACAACUAGCCCCUUACCCGUGAAUCUCUGACAAAGACCAGUACAUCUAGGUUUCGUAGUAACCCUGAAUCGAAUACUAGGUGGCGACUCCAAAAGAAUCAAGCAAACGAACGAAAAUCACUAAACAACGCCACGCGGGUGACGUGCGACACUACAUACUUAGAUUAAAUAAUUCUAUUAUUUGCUUCGUAUCGGGUGGCAAGAGGUAACUCAUUAAUCGCAAGAUCAAUCUUUGCUAUUGGUUUUUUGAAAUUCUUCAUAUCCAUGUUCCAUUAGCUUUAUUCAUGUAAAUAUUUUGAUAGAUUUCAACUUGUUUGGUGAUUUCAAUGUAAAUGUAUUUGAAUCUUUUGCAAUAAAAUACUGUAGAAUGACAACUGUUGCUAUCUAAUUUUUGACCCAUCUUUUUAAUAAAAUUUUUGAAAAAUCCAAAAAUAGCGAAAAACAAUGAAAAUUUUAAAAAUAUGUUUUUAAUAUAUUUUCAUCGUUUUUAGCAUUUUCAGCAUUGUCUCAAAAGAAUUUAAAUUUUCAAAGGUAUUUUGAACGCGUUCGACUUUUCACGCAUCAUUUUUAAAAUCAUUGAUUUUUCUUAUUGAGUCGACGUUGAUAUUGCUCAUUUUAAAAAAAUACAAAAAAAAUAAGAAAAAUCAAAAUUUACAAAAAAGAAGAAGUUGAGGGACCAUGUUUGAGGACCAAACAAUAUUUUGCCUAUAAAUAUGAGUCUAUAACACAAAAAAAUGGAGGGGUGGGGCAUUUUUUCACAAUUUGAAGAACCACACAAAACCCUAAAUCACAAAAAACCCUAAAAAUUUGAACCCUUUCUUCUCCCUCACGGAAGCCGCCGCUCAUUCCCUAUCUCUACCAAAAAAAGCCCCCCCCCGGCUUUGAAAUAACCUUUGCUAGGAUCACACCCCACUGGGGGCAAGUGCGAGAGAUAUAGAAAAAAAAAUCAAUGAUUGAAAGUGCCUCAAAUGAACCAGGGGGCAUCAAAACAAAAUUUCUCAAUGGUCAAAGGUGCCCAAACAAAGAUGGGGGCAUGGAGAAAAAUUCAAAGGAUCUAAAAGAUUUGAGUUUCUAAAAAUAACUGAUACGAUGAUACUUAACCAAGUGAAGAAUGAAGAAAAUAAAGAGAAAGAGCCCAAGACCAACAUUGAGGGGCACAAUAGACCAUUUUGGAAAGACAUUCCAAAGAUAAAAGGCCAUCAAAUAAGCACUAGUGAUCCUCUUGAAAUCCCUUAAACACCUUUUGAGCUUAUAAAAGUCAUUUUUCUUCAUAACCAAGAGCCCAAGCCUACAUUACAUGCCUAAUUAAGCUCUUUCUGAUCAAAGGCGAGCAAUUUAGAUUGGUAGGCAAUGUUUUCUUAUGCGAACCAAAUCAUUAUUCAUGCAAAUAAAAUGAAUGUUUUGAAAAUCGAUUCUUUGUAACCCUCAAAUUGAAGUUUGAACCUCUUGACCAACCAAAUGUCAUUUUAUAUUUUCACCAAAAGCAAAACAAAAAGUUUUCAUCACUUCUGAAAACCUCUCCAUAGGAAUCACUUGAAUUUCUUCAGAAUGAGUUUGCUUUGAAUUGAUGUAAAAAUAAUUUCUAUGUCUAGAAUAGCUUUGAAAUUCCAAAAUUUCUGCAUGAAAACAUCUCCUUGUCAAACCUUCCUUCACAUAGUCUCAUCCCCAAACCGAAUUGAAUACUUGGGGGCAUGAUCAAGUUGGGGGGCAAUCGAAAACACCUGGUAAGACUUGCUCCAUGAUUCCCUUUCUAAGAAAAAUAUCGGGCAAAAUUGACAACCCUUGAGAUAAAGGGUGGAGGACAAAGAAGUAUGAUGAUAUCAAGUCCUUCCUAGAGGUCAAUAUCACAAGACAUGACUCAAGUAAGCAUGAGCGAAAAGACCAUCGAAGUUUGCUACCAAGACUCAAACUUUUGAGAAAAGGAAGACUCCAUGAGGAAAAGGAGGACCUAUAUUUCUCAGGUAAGUAUACAUGCAUAUUGAUCAUAAUGCAUUGCUUUCAACAUUAUCAUAUCAGUGUUUCACCAUCACCUUUUGCGUAGUGCAUUUUCUAACCCUACAUCAUUUCGAGUGCGCCUUUGAGUCUUUACUUCUUUUUAGAGCGCUUUUGAGCCCUCACCUCUCAGGUAGGGCAUUUUUUAAUCCUACUUCCUUUCAAGUGCACCUUUGAGCCCUUAUCUUUCAGGUAGUGCGUUUCCUAACCUUGCCUUAUUUUGAGUGCGUCUUUGAGCCCUCAUCUCCCUUCAAGCUUUAUCAUGUCGUCAAGACAUCACACUAUUCUCUUUUUCCACUUGGGUAGGUCACCCAUUAUAAUGAGACCAUCAUUUUUUCUGAGUAGGUCACCCAUUACAAUGAGACCACUCUUCCCUUUUUUUUUCCUUGGGUAGGUCACCCAUUACAAUGACACCAUCAUUUUUUCUAGGUAGGUCACCCAUUACAAUGAGAUCAUUCUCCAUGUUUUUUUUAUCUGGGUAGGUCACCCAUUACAAUGAGAUCAUUCUUCCACCUAAGUAGGUCACCCAUUACAAUGAGACCAUCAUUUUUCUCGGUAGGUCACCUAUUACAAUGAGACCAUUCUUCCACCUGGGUAGGUCACCCAUUACAAUGAGACCACUCUUCCUUUUUUCUCCUUGGGUAGGUCACCAAUUACAAUGAGACCAUUCUUCCACCUGGGUAGGUCACCCAUUACAAUGAGACCACUCUUCCUUUUUUCACUUGGGCAGGUCGCCCCUGAAAAUAGACCAGUGUGAGUGUAUGGGUUGAUCACCCCUGAAAAUAGACCAGUGUGAGUGUGUGGGCUGGUCGCCCCUGAAAAUAGACCAGAAUGAGCAUGUGGGCAGGUUGCCCGUGAAAAUAGACCACUAUGAGCAUGUGUGGGCAGGUCGCCCGUGAAAAUAGGCCAUUGUGAGUGUGUGGGCAGGUCAUCCAUGAAAAUAGACUAAUGUGAGUGUGUGGGCAGGUCUCCUGUGAAAGUAGAUUGAUUUUCUUCAAAAGGGUAGGUUGCCCAAAAUAAUGAGACCAUUUUCUUUUUCUUUUCUUUACAAAGCUUACUAUGCAAAACAUUGAGGAGUUUUGCUUCGUAAGCAUUGUAAAGAGGGAGCAUCUAUUGCUACCCAAUUUUUGACCCAUCUUUUUGAUAAAAUUUUUGAAAAAUCCAAAAAUAGCGAAAAACAAUGAAAUUUUUAAAAAUAUGUUUUUAAUAUAUUUGCAUCGUUUUUAGCAUUUUCAGCAGUCUCAAAAUAAUUUAAAUUUUCAAAGGUCUUUUGAACGCGUUCGACUUUUUCUGUGUCAUUUUUAAAAUAAUUGAUUUUCCUUAUUGAGUCGACGUUGAUAUUGCUCAUUUUCAAAAAAUACAAAAAAAAUAAGAAAAAUCAAAAUUUACAAAAAAAGAAGAAGUUGAGGGACCAUAAAUAUAGGAAUUUACCUGGGAGUUACAGACCAUGUUUGAGGACCAAACAAUAUUUUGCCUAUAAAUAUGAGUCUCCAACACUCAAAAAUGGACGGAGGAGGCAAUUUUGCACAAUUUAAGGAACCACAAAAAACCCUAAAAAUUUGAAACCUUUCUUCUCCCUCACGGAAGCCGCCACUCAUUCCCUAUCUCUACCAAAAACAAACCGCCGCCCCCCCUGGCUUUGAAUUUUCCCUCCCAAGACCAGCACCUCUCUUCUUCGUCCGCACACACGCCUAACCACGACUUCCUCUCUAUCCCCAGCAGCAGCAUCUUUGUCUUCUUCCAACCCCGAUCUGUCUUCCUUUCCUCCACAGACCAGCCAAGACAGUCGCUCACUCUCCUCUCAGCCAGUUUUCACCACUAGCUGCAGUAGCGCCGUCCUCACCAGUGAGCCAACAACCCACACAUAGCAGCGCCUGGACAACACUCUUUGUCAUUUUCUGCAACCGGCCUCCAGCAGCAGCCAACACACGGCGUCAACAGUUCCCAUCUCCACACGACAAACUCAAGAUCAGCUCAAGACACAACCGCCUGAUCUGCCACCUAAGGAAGAGAGAAUACAAGAAAAAAUCAAACCGGGAGGAAGAGAGAAAACAGAAGUGAGACAGAUUUGAAAAGGGAGAAGACUCGAAUGAACCAGAUCUGAAAAGGAGAAAAGAACACUAAAAUCGAUUGCUUGUUGUGAUUUUGGGUGUUUUGCAGGUCAAGGCAUCGCCAUCGGGAGGGAAGGGAAGAGAAGAAGAAAGCAGGUCAGAUCCACCCGUUUACAGGCAUUGCAUGCGACGGCGCGUGAACCCACGCGCCUCCAGUGGCAGUGGCGUGUGGAGCAAAUGCACCACCACAUUUCCUACACCCUUAUAGGGCUGCCCGACACUGUUCUUAAUUUUUUUAGGGUUUAUUUUGUAAAUUUCAAAUUGUUUAAUGUACUGUUUAUUUAAUUUCAAAUUUUUAUAAUUUAUAGCGUGCAAAUGUGCAUGUAAAAAAAAAAAACAAAAAAAUAUAGUAAAAGUGAAUGUGUGUGUGUGUGUUUGAAUUUUUUUUAUGGAUGUUUUUCUUUUGAUAAAACCACAAAGAUAAAAGAAGAAUUUAAUGUUUUGAUUUGCUCAUCGUAAAGGAUAAUGAACUUACAUGUAAGUCGUAUUUGUAAUAUCCGAUGAAAAGAUAAAAUCUUUAAAACUUCUUUAUCACAUCAAAUCACGAAACAACUUACCUUAGAUAGGGUGUGCUAGGGGUGCUAAUACCUUCCCUGGCCACAACCAGUCCCUUAUCCGUGAAUCUCUAACAAGACUAGUACACUUGGGUUUCCUAAUUAUCCUGAACCAAAUACUAGGUGGUGACUCCCAAAGAACAAGCAAACGAACAAAAAUUGUCAUCGAACGCUGCGCGGGCACAAGCGACAAAAACUUGUAUUUAUCUUUAUAUAUAUAUAUAUAUAUAAAAUGUAACAUUCUAAAUGUGAAUGAUUUAUUAGUUGUAAAAACACACAAGCGGUGAGGCGUUUUUGGAGAACAGAAGAGGCGAGUCAUUCCACCUCUUAAUUAUAUUCCUUGCAAAUCAAUUCAAUGCCCACUCCACUCAUUAUUAAAAUCCUGUUGAUUUUAAGUAACCUAAGUUAAUUUAAUUUACCUGAAUCAUGGUUCAGAUCUUGUACUGAGUUGACUCAGUCGAUUGAAAUUUGUUUCUUCUUAGUUAGGGAGUCAAUCAUCCUAAGCACACAAUUCUGCAAGUCUUGACUCAGGAGAGAGGCCCAUUUCCUUAAGAGUAAUGAAAGUUGGAAAUAUAAUAAGGUCCAAAGUGAAGAAGUCCCACUUGAACUGAACCUAGCCGUAGGCUUUGGAUUCCAUGAAAACCCAUAUGAUUUAGGUGUCAAGAUAAAUGCUCGACUGAACAAAAUUUCUUGCCUUUUCUUCUCUCUCUCUCCCUCUCUCUCUCUCUCUCUCUCUCUCUAUUCUACCAAAUACAUGACUAUUAUAAAAUAAUCAGUUUUACAUUCACCCAAAUAAAUCUGCAUAAGAUCAUAUUGAAAAUAAGAUUUAUUUUUAUUAUUUUAAAUAAAAAUAAUAGACUUGAAUUGUUUUGAUAACUCGGUUUGACUUAUAAUUUAGUCACAAACUUUUUUUCAAGCAUAUUUUUAUAACAUAACUAAUUCCGUACCUAUUAACAUAAUGUAAUAAAAAUAGUUAAGGUAUAUAUGUAUUUGACAAACGAUAAAGGGCCAAAACUGAAUAUUUGAACCAAAACAGUCUAAAUCCCUUUUGCUACUUGAACUUUCUUGAAUUAAAUAACUUAAGAUAAUUUAGAAGUGUACAAUAACGUUAUUGAAAUUAUAUUUUUUAAAAAUUAAUUAUUUUUAUUUAAAAUUAAUAUUUUAAUAUUUUCAAAUUGUUUUGAUAUACUAAUAUUAAAAAAAAUUAAAAAUAUUAUUUUAAUAUAUUUUCAAGCAAAAAAUAUUUUGAAUCAUAAUCCUCACCGAACUUCCAAAUAUCUCCUUCUAUUUCUAUUAAAAACCCUAUGAUUUAGACAUCACGACAAUGACCUUAACCUUGUCCAUACAAAAAAUGAAUCAAUCGAUCGAUAUUCUCGUAUAUAUUGAUUGGACAAGUUAAUUUUCAACAAGUUCAUAUAUUUUUAACCGUGCCAUGUUAAAUUAUUGACCCUAAAAUUGUAAGAGUAAACUUUAAACUAAGUAAAAAAAAUUGGUAGAAAUAAAAUAAGCUGCUCUCCCUCCCUUCCCCCAGAGGAGGGGAUAAGGUCAGAAUUAGAAAAUUUGAAGUCCUUUUCCUUCCUUCACCCCAAGGAAAGGUUGCUGGCCUUGGUUUUUGUGUUGUUGAAAUGUCAUAAUCUACAACGUCAUCUUCUUUCUAUAACAAAACAACUAUAUUUAAAAUUGUAGAUGUUUAUUACACUAUUGACUUAGUAUUCUCACAUUUCUAAUUUGUUAUGAGUGUUCUUUCAGAAAUGGCUUUGAACGGGCAUAUUGACUUUUUUCUUAUAUUUAAAAAAAAAAACUAAGUUAGCUGNNNNNNNNNNNNNNNNNNNNNNNNNNNNNNNNNNNNNNNNNNNNNNNNNNNNNNNNNNNNNNNNNNNNNNNNNNNNNNNNNNNNNNNNNNNNNNNNNNNNUUAUAUCACUUUGAUGUAUUAAAAAAGACUUAAUACAUUUAUUUAUAAGUUGGUCUGAGAUUUGAACUAAAAUAAUAAUAAAAAAAAAAAAACCUAAUGAGAAUCUCAGAAGAUUUAUAUAUAUAAAAAAAACCUAAUGAGAAUCAACUUCUUAACAUCAAAUCAACUUCUUAAGAUUUAUAUAAAAAAACCUUACUAAUUAAAUUGAAAUCUAUCAUAAAAAAAACCUAAUGAGAAUCUCAGAAGAUACAAGGCAGGAUGCAUGCAUAUGUUUUCCAAGAGUUAUAAUUUACAACAAAUCAUACAAUCAUUUUGAUAAUAGUUGAAGUGUUUUAUUUUAAAAACCUUUAUGAGAUAAUGAUAUUUCGAUGAAAAUAAAAUUAUAAAAAAUACAAAUAAAAGUAUUGAUAUGCAAAACUAAAAGAAUAAUCUAAAAUAACUUUAAGAGGUAACUCAACUAGUCAGGAUUUGGGUGUACUUUCUAAUAGUCACGAGUUCUAGUCUUAUCAUGGCUACUGAAGGUUUAUAUGGUUAUUAACUUCAAAACUCGUGAAAUUAAUUAAAAUACAAGUAAACUGAUGUAGAUAUUUACAUUAAUAAUAAUAAUAAUAAUAAUAAAUCCAAGAGAAUAUAUACAAAUAUAAGUCGAAACCUACCGCCAUUUUCGUUAGAAGAACAUAAACCUACUACCCGUGUAGUGAGUCAACUUGAUGUGCACUUGUAAUUAAGAAUAUACUUAGAGUAUACACGGGACCAACCUACAUGUGAUAUUUAAUACUGAAGAUAGGUAGGCAGAAGCUAAUUCAUUUGUAGGAUUCGAUGUUUAUCUCUCUGGAUUAAAUAAUUAUAUUCUUUGCUUCGUAUCGGCUGGCAAGAAUCGAGAGGUACCUCAUUAAUCGCAAGAUCAAUCUUCAUAUUUUUAUAAAUUUCGACUUCUUCAGUGAUUUCAAUGUAAAUGUAUAAUUAGAAUAUUUUGCAAUAAAAUAAAUUAUAAUUAAAUCUUUGAAUAAAUUCAUCCAUUCAUCAAUGUUAUGUUACUGAAACGACAUUAAAUUAAUCACUGAACAAGUUGAUUAAUUCAAACAACACGCAUUCAAUCAAUAUAAUGGUCUUGAAGAUAAGUGAAUGAACGUUAAACAAUCAAUAAGUUGGGAUUAGAAACUACUGCAUGUAGUUUCUAAUCAAUCACCAUAAUACGGUUAUGAUCAAACAGCACAUACUUAAUGAAGACCAUUCAUCAGUCAACUACUGCAUGUAGAAUAAAAACUUGGAUUUAUCGUUCACCUAACCACUUUGUAAUUUUAUGGAUUGCUUAGCACAUACUUCGAUAUGAUCUUAAUUACUAUUCACUAUCAUGUUGCUUAAUAUUGAUUGGUUAUGUUAUUAUUGGAAAUUCGAAUUCCACGAAGUAAACUAUAAGGCAUGAUCGGUUUGGACGAGGAUGACUUGAUUUGAAAAUAAAAAAAAAUAAUUAUGAUAAGUGAAAGAUGGCUUAAGAGUCUAAUCACUGCUAUUCAUGAUUUAUUUUGUAAGAAGAUGGAUUUUAUCCAUUAUUUGGUACAUAUACUUUUUUUUUUUUAUUGGAGCCUCUUAUGUUUUUUUAUUUAUAAUUGAUUGAGUCCCUCUACUCUUUCUUUUGUUUUGUAAUACUAUGAUUUCAUGCGCUUACAUGGAAUUUUCUUUUAGAUACUAAAUUGAAUGCUUGACGACGCAUGAUCCAAUAACUCCUAUUUUUUAAAAAAUUCUCUCUUUUGAUAUGAAAAUUAAAUGAUUAAAAUAAAAUAAAUAAAUUAGCCUAAACAAACCUAAUUAAUUAAAGUAAUUCAAUUAAUUUCCACAUGUUUAUUUUCUUUUCUUUAUUUCUUUCAUUACGUAAUCUAAAAAAAUAAAAGAGUUAAUUCAAUAGAAAAAAUGUCAUGUAGACAUAUAUCAGUUUGAUGUAUUAAAAAAGAUUUAAUAAAUUUAUUUGUAAGUUGGUCUCCAAAUUUGAACUAAAAUAAUAAUAAUAAUAAUAAAAUCUCUUUGAGCAUCAAACCAACUUUAAAAUUUAUAUAAAAAAACUUCCUAAUUAAAAUCUUUAAACUUUGAACUUGAAAUUUAUUUCAGAUUGGGUUCAUAUUUGAAUAGUCUGGAAAAUUAACCAGGAUAAAAUUCAGGUAAAAUUUGGUUAACAAUUUUAUUUUUAUUGUUUUUUUUAAUAAUAACAAAGUUAUUUUUUAAUUUUUUUAUACUAGAAAAAAACAAUUCUCAAUGAGUAGGCAGCAGCAAUCAAGUUAAUGACAAAACAUAUUUGUUUCCUCAACUUUGCUUGCUUACAAUAUAUUCAUAUGAUAUGGUCAACUAUGACUGUUUUGUGAGUCAUUGAUCUUUCGCUGUUAGCUUCACUGCGUAAAAGAUACAUAUUUAACAAUUAUCAACUAAUAGAUGAAGCCUAUAUCCAAACCAAUCGCACAGCCUUUCGUCCUCCAAGUUCCUUCUAUUUUUCUUAUGUACACAAUUAACAUAUCCUCAAUUACCCUUUUGAUUUUUAUUUUUUUAAUGAAUUAAUUAUGUCAAUAAAAUUUAUAAGAGACGUAGAGGAGGGCAUGAAUAGCACUAGCUAGAAGUCAGUGUAUCAAUGUUAAUGCUCCUCAAAAAGUCAAUGCUGGUGAAGUUGGUAGCAAAAAUAAAUAAUAAUAAAAACAAAUUAAUUGAGUAGCUACAGCUAGAGAGCCAAAUAAAUUGCAGAAGACGUCACACCUUCAUUAAUUAUUGGUUGUAAAUGCCUAUCUAAGGAAACAAUAUUUAAUCUUAUGUGCAGAACUUGAGAGGGAUUCACAGACAUUUUUGUAUUGCUUCUAAGACCUCCCAAAACAACCCAAAAGAAGAUAAAGAAGAGAAAACUCCAUGUUAUUUCUUUAAUACAUCCUACUUUUUUGGAUUUGAAGAUUUUAUAAGUUAAUACUAUUUUAUAUUUAAUUUUUAUCAAAUAAAAUAAAGUGAUGAGAUUUAAACUCAUGAUUACUUGAUCAAUAAAAUUUUAAUAUUAUGAUGAAGAAUUAUUUCAAUUUAAAAAUUUAAAUUAUUGAAUAAAAUCUCGAGAUAUAAUUUAUAUAUUUUUUAAAACAUAACCCAUAAGGGUUUAAGUGAAGGAUAUUAGAGUAUAAAACCAAUCCGGGAUAUAAUAUAAAUUUCUAAAUUUUAAACUUUUGGACAACAAAUAAUUAGUCGACAACUAAUUUGUCUAGUGUUGGUUCAAAUUCUAACUUGGUCAAAGUCUAAGGAAUCCCCUCCAUUAGGCCUUCAUUAGGCACGUAGUUUCCCAAAAUCUAUCCCCUCUAAACUUGAAAGAUAAUUCAAGGGAGAGAGGGUUUCUCAAUAUUAUGAAAGGAAAACCAACAUGGUUAGUACUGGGCAUGACCAUAUUGGAGUAAUAGUUUUAGGAUAAUCUACAAGGUUGGUGUGAUCACAUUUCCAAACCCCACAAAUUAAUGAAAUUUUCAGAAGCCCUUUUAAUUUUCAUACAUGUUUGAAUUUUCUUCUUAUUCGUCCACUUGUUAGUUCCUUCACAGAAUUUUCAAUGAAGAAUAAAGGAAAAAACUAUGAGUAUAACGAUAAAUUAAUAAAAAGAUUCUUCUGUGGGGAAUCAUGAACCAGAAUAAUAAUGAAUUGGAAAUGAGUUAGGUGUUGUAGUGGGUAACGAGUACCUCACUCGUUGAUGAAUUCAUGGUUUUAUAAACGUAAUCAUUUACUACUGUUCCUGCUCCUACCUUUCACACCUACUGCAUGUCCACACAAUCAUUAUUACUAUAAAUAUGUAGCAAGUUUGCCUUCCCAUGCAUUCCAUUUCAAGCAAAAAUAUUCUUGACUGCUGAGGUAGAGCCACCAUUUAUCACAGUUUGCAGCAAACAUACUUUUUGUGCGAUGGCAACACCACCUUCCUUAUCGUUCGCCGUCCGAAGGUGCGAACCAGAAUUGAUUGCUCCAGCUAAGGCCACACCUCAUGAAUUCAGACAGCUUUCUGAUAUUGAUCGACAACUAUACCUCCAAUUUCAAUCACCACAUUACAACUUGUAUGCACACAAUCCAUCGAUGCAAGGGAAAGAUCCUGUGAAGGUAAUAAAGGAGGCAAUUGCGCAGGCAC